rnacentral:rRNA from 1 species
GCGAGUGAAGCGGGAAAAGCUCAAAUUUAAAAUCUGGCGGUCUUUGGCCGUCCGAGUUGUAGUCUGGAGAAGCGUCUUCCGCGUUGGACCGUGUACAAGUCUCUUGGAACAGAGCGUCAUAGAGGGUGAGAAUCCCGUCUUUGACACGGACUACCAAUGCUUUGUGAUGCGCUCUCAAAGAGUCGCGUUGUUUGGGAAUGCAGCGCAAAAUGGGAGGUGAAUUCCUUCUAAAGCUAAAUAUUGGCGAGAGACCGAUAGCGAACAAGUACCGUGAGGGAAAGAUGAAAAGCACUUUGGAAAGAGAGUUAAACAGUACGUGAAAUUGCUAAAAGGGAAACGCUUGAAGUCAGUCGCGUCGUCCGGAACUCAGCUUUGCUUCGGCUUAGUGCACUUUCCGGUUGACGGGCCAGCAUCGAUUUUGACCGCUGGAAAAGGGUUGGAGGAAUGUGGCACCUUCGGGUGUGUUAUAGCCUUCAGUCGCAUACAGCGGUUGGGAUCGAGGAACGCAGCGCGCCUUAUGGCUGGGGUUCGCCCACAUUCGCGCUUAGGAUGCUGGCAUAAUGGCUUUAAACGAC